CUGGGGAAACCGCGAGCGCAGCAGGGGUCGGGGGAUAGGUUUCUCGGGGUCCCACGGAAGGCGGUGUAGACAAUCCUGGAAAAAAAGGGGGGCUAGAGUAGUUGGAUUCGGUCAGGAAUUUCCUCUCUAAAUAGGACGUCGAAACAGUGGUGCUCCUUCUGAUUUCCGGAAUCUCCUAGGACUUCUCAGCUCUGGGAAGCAGCUCUAUCAUUCACUGCUUUCUCUCUCUUUCCGUCACAGAACCGUCCUCCUUGGUAAGCUGGUUUUCCUGCUUCGAGACGAGCGGCAGCAAGAGGAAGACAACCGAGGCUGGCUUGCAUAGACACGCAAAGUGAAGGCGGCAAGGCGGAGACGAGGAUGAAUCAGUAGUUUCCCCAUACCCGGAACCGCUCGGGAAGUCUCAGGACCUGCUGGAGUAUGUCAACCGGUUUGCACAGUCCCUUUCUGAAGAAGACAGUUCAAGCACAGGUAAGUGCUUCGGCAGUUUCAGAGGAGCCAGCGUGUGUCUCAUACCAAACUCUCCUAUGCAUACUGCCACGGGGGCCAUGUGGGCAAUGCCUUUGAUUUCCCAAGUAUGUUGCAAGGAAAAGGGGCCCCGGGUAUUUCUGAGAUACCCCCUCUCCAUCUCUUACAGAGUUCCUUGUUUACCUGCUGCUACCUGCUACCCUGACUGUCCCCUCUGUCCCCUCACUUUCCUUCACAGUGUUCACAGUGUCCUUUGAGAUUGCGGAUUCGAAACAGCCUUGCCGGUAUAUGCCAUCUGAUUCACAUUUGGUUCAAUUUCACAGGGUCUUCCACCUCACUUGACCCGGCUUCUCCCGUCUCCAAUCUGCAACAGAGACCACCGUCUACAAGAGAGGCACUAGAGGAGGUGGAGCGAAUCAUUCAAGAGCUCAGAGCUAAAGAUGAAUCUUUACAGGCCGUCCCUUCCGAUGUAUUGGAAUAUGUCUUUGGAAACCCUGACACAACAAACGAAUCGGGUCAGCCUCCAUCAGGACGUUCCAGCUCACUUGGACCAGCUUCUCGAGCCAUAGCUUCUCAACAGAGACCAUCAGUGGCUCAAGAAGACUUGGA
rnacentral:lncRNA from 1 species